CUUCACCGCGCCGAGCAGCAGCGGUUGCUCCGGCGGCCGCUCCUGGCCGUAGGUGGCCAGCAGCGCCUGGGCCUC
rfam:Streptomyces chattanoogensis strain NRRL ISP-5002 ISP5002contig17.1, whole genome shotgun sequence.